UAUAGCAGAUCAUAUAGCAUAACAACAUCCUAACCAGGAUACCGACCUAACCGGUCACUAGCAUAGCAUCAUCCUAUAUACCAGGAUACCGACCUAAACCAGACCACUAACAUAGCGUCAUCCUAUAUACCAGGAUACUGACCUAAACCAGGUCGCGAACAUAAUACCGUCCUAAUUACCAGGAAACCGAUCUAAUAGAUCAAUAAGCAUAUCAAACAAAUACAAGUAUACAAUCCGAGAAAGGGCCAACCUUGGUGCUUUAGACCAUGUUGAUAUAAUGAGGAUAACUCACCUUGCAAUGUCGAACAACACCACGAAAUCACGCUCCUGAAACACUACCCCAAACUCCAACACCUAAAACCAUCAAGAUCCAAUUUAUUAAAACCUGCUUACCAAUUAUCCUCAAAAGUCAAAACGGUCAACCCUUGGUCAAAGUCAAAGUCAAAUAUCAAGGUCAACAGUCCAUGCUGACCUCAAGUCGUCGAGUACCCUCAGUUACUCACCGAGUUCCCUACAUAACUUGCUAACUCGCCGAGUCACCAUGCCACUCGCCGAGCCCAAGGAAAUCUUCAUCGAACUCGUCGAGUUGUUCAUCCAACCCAUCGAGUUCGUGACCAUCUUCAUAUGACUCCCCGAGUCUACCAUGCGACUCGUCGAGUCCCUUCUAUCCUUCAUCCAUAAAUAUGUUUUUUAAGCCAUGGUAAGGCUCCAUACUACAAAUCCAACUUCCCAAGGCAUGCUUAUCAUGUAAAGUUGCAAACUUUACGUGCAUGUAAGGCUCUUAUGACUCAAAAUGCCAAAACCAAGCUUGAAAAUGGGUUUUACAGUUAAGGAGGGGUUUAUACUUGCCCAAGCUGAUAGCUUUAUGGAUUUAGAGACCAAGGAGAGUUCAGAUCUGAAGUUACAACUUUAGAUCUGAGAUCAUACACAAAAAUAGCUUCACAAUAUGCUAGAAAAGCCCAAAACUUUAAAAAAUGAGAUCUAGAAUGAAAUGAGGUCAAGGUAACAACUUGAUACCUUCAAACAGAUGCCAUCGGAGGUAGAUAUCAGAUCCCCACAAGUCCUUUGCUCCUAGUCACUUGCUCUUCAAGUUCUUCUUACAAAGAUAUAACUUCCAAAGCUUUAAAACACACAAAUGGAGCAAACUCUCACGAAUUAGGGUUUCUGGACUCUCAAGAGGCUGCAAAGGAACUAAGGGAGGCUAAUGGUCCCUUAAAUAGGGUGCCAACCCCCGAAAAUUAGGGUUUUACCCUCCAGCUCCAACUCGUUGAGUCACUCUUCCAAUUCAACGAGUUGGUCACUUAAAGACUUGGCCCAAACCCGCUGCUACUCGACGAGUCAAACAACCAAGUCAUCGAGUAGACCUUGAAUUCAUGAGAAUUUAUAACCAUAAAUUGGUAUUCGAAAAUCGAGGCGUUACAAUUCUCCCCUACUUGAACUAGACUUCGUCCACGGAGUCUACUGUGGUGAACAUCCUCGGAUCGUGCUCCCGCACUCUGCCUCCGACUCCCACACCCAUUCGGACUCUCUUUGGUGUUCCUACUGUACCCUUACAAAAGGUACCUCCUUGUCCCGCAGAACCUUCACCCUUCUCUCUAGAAUAGCCACAAGCCUCUCCACAAAAUCCAGGUGCUCUCCGACCUGAAUGUCAUCCAACGAUACUACCGUCUCCUGAUCCGUGACACACUUUUGCAAGUGAGAAACCUGAAAGGUGAUCUAAAUCCCAAUCGUACCUUUUCAUAAGAUCUAUCCUUCAUGCCACCUUGCCAACUUGACAAAAUCCUGAUGGUCCAAAGUAUCAGAAACCCAACUGUCCCUUUUUCCUGGAGCGAACCCUCUUCGCUAACAUGAUAAUGCAUCCCUCAAUUCCCAAAAUAUCAUACAUAAUCGAUCCACUAAUGAAUACGAACACUCAUGCCUGGCCCAAAUAGCCUCAGGCUGGAAUACCAGGCGAGCCCACGACGGCUCCAAUCACCCCUAGGAGGGAAUACCCUCAUAUCCCUUAAAUGUUUGGCCCAAUCAACCCCCACGUUGGAAUACCAAACAUAUCAAAUCCAGUCCAUCAUAGGGUCUGGUCAUCCUCAGGAUGGACUACCAUAGAUUGGAAAACCUCAAUGAACAUCACUUGGGACAACUCACAACCGAGUGCAACUCUCCCGAAUCUUCAACAAUACAUCCAACCCGAACGCACUCCUACAACAGACAUAACCAACACAUUCUCUAUGCCUACAGCCUAUGACUGGAAUACCGUUAUGUGGUCCUCAACAUAGGUCUCGAUUGCCUCUGAGCCCAUAGCAUGAGCCUGGUAUGCCCUCCCCGGCCCUUAGCUCAUGACUGGAAUGCUCCCGAUGAUCAAUCAGCACUACUGUCGGCACUUCAGUUGCCCAACACUCAGACCCCGCAGAUAUCCACUUUCCGCUGCCGCUUGAAGGGCCUAAUUAAUGCUCCUCUCAUCAAUGAACAACAUAAUGAUACAAAAACAAUUACCACACAUGAAUCCCAAGACACAUCGCAAUAACUCAAACCAUCAUCAACAUACCCACCACUAUCGGCCAACCAGUACGCUACUCAUAUCUAGUCCAUACCACCUCUUCUAGUUGGAAUACUAAUCAUGUCUAAUCAAUUCAACUAUUGAGCUGAAAUUCUCAGGGUUUGUUGGCCUACCGCCUCAACCCAACCACUCCCUUUGAGCCUCCGUGCCUACGACUUCCAGUCGGCCCGUACCGGGUAUCUUGGCCUGCCUCAUAGACAUGACCACCUCAACCCCAUCCAAAUGCCAUAAACAAUUAAGAAAACAUCUAACCCGGUUCCCAGAACCUGAAUGACAGGUUAUUCUAAUUCCAAACAUGCCCAAAACUGACGAAUACCCAAUCAGAUCCACUCUCAGUCCCCAACUGGAGUAUUACCCGAUCCGAGAGGAUGAAACCUCAGAGACACUUCGAACUGAUGAGAUCACGAAGAUCCUUUGAACUCCGUCCGACCAAUAAUAGCAACUUCCAAUCAACCAAAAUACAUCGAAUUCCUCAGCCUACUCCAACAGCAUGUUCAAUACUUGGAACAGACCUAUUGAUUGCUAUAGCAUAGCGGUCUGCUCAAUACCCGAUCAUAGUUCUACAAACAUAUACAGAGUCUUCAGCAUGACUGGACCGCCCUACCAGGCCUUCAGUCUAUCUGGACCACUCUCAGAACCUUCAGAAUGUCUGGACCGCCUCUCUGGGCCUUCAGCCUGUCUGGACCAUUCUCCGAGCCUUCGGUCUGACUGGUACGCCCCACUGGCCUUCAGUCUAUCCGGGCCGCUCUCAACCGUUUAGCAUCUCCCUGGACCCUCCACUCCUGAUGCUCUCCCCCAUGCAUCCUGUUCCCACCCAAUUGGGGCUUCGAAAUCCGGAUCUACUCUGUGGACUAUAUCCCUAGCCUAACCGUACACCUUAUAUCGAUCAUCCACCCUAUCGUAAAUCUGUGGUCUGUUCCCUGACCCACGUGCCUACCAAAUACGCUAAAUAACCCGCACUCCCGUGCUGAAUACAUUGUUGAUCCCUAGAAGAUAACACAAAAACCCUCAAUCUAUUAAUCUAAAAACCCUCAGAAUCGAGCGUGCCCUCGACCGAAUACUCAAAGUAAACUCGAUUCUUGACUAGAACUCCAACCUGGUUCCCCAAAUCCUACUAUCAAGGACCCAAAAGAUGUGUUCUUAUGCUGGGGAGUUUUUUCGAACCCCCAAUCAACACAACCCUCAAACCAAUCCGCCACUAGGGCCUCCAUUUUCCCUAGCAGGUGGUGAAACUUAUCCUUGUUUCAAAACCUCUCCCACUUCCGCAUCUCGGGGUAACACUCCCCACUUAGAUUUGACUAAGCCUUCAUAAUACAUGAAAAUUGGAGGAUUCUCAAUCCUUCUCACUACCCAACGAUCGAUCCGAUGACACUAACUCUUUCCCACUAGUGCUCCACUGCUAGUUAGUCCCAAUUGAUCACACACUUCUAAGAACCAGAUGAACACUUCCUGAAUCCUAGUGAAACCGUCAGCCUAUAAUGCUUGAAUGACCCCACAGUCAUGUCCUGAAGACCACAAGGUAUAUGCUCCAACUAAUACCUCAGCAACAAACCCCUUUCUGUUGGCGCUUUAGCCGGUCAAUCACUAACGGUUGCUAACCACUGAAUUCUGACAAUGCUGAAUAACCAUUAUGUGGGACCCUAUCCGCAUGCCUUCAACAUAAUACCCCUUUUCCAAAGGUGUUCAAAACAAGCUUCCUGCUCUCGGGUUCUAGGAAUCAUUCUCUUCAGGGUCCGCACCCUGACCCACUUACCAGCUCAAAUGCCUACAGUUGAACUGUAGCAGCCAAAACAACCUCUGCCCUAAGCCAGGCUACAAACUACUCCUAAGCCAUAGUCUACAAUCCCAAAAGUGCAAUAGAUCGCACAAUCCAUCCUUUCCGUCCAAUGCAAGAGAUCCAAGGUAAACCGGACCUCAUAAAUACUUAUGCCACGUCGAUCUUCCUGUGCUCACCGGUGCUGAAAUAAUGUUGCCAACCUAUGCAACCAACUGACCCCAAGCCGGAAGACAACCUGCCCCCAGGUCACAAGCCUGCUCUCUCCUUCCAGCAUGAAAAAACUGAGAGGGCACAAUCCUUGCCCUAAUAAAGGACAAUCCAAUCCAUCAAUUAACCAUUCCACUUCCAGCUGCAAAACCCCAGCUGAACAUAACCAUCAUUCCUUUCCGAAUUUCUCGCGACCCACAUUCCGUCCUUGAGCAAAACCCCCGAGCUCAAACCUAGAAACCCACAUGCUAGCCUCUCCCACUAAAACCGUUGAAACAUAACGAGUACAAAUAAUGUUCCGAUCCCAAUUAAUUGUAGCCCUCUGCUCAUCAGAAUAUGUCAUAGAACUAGGAAGCCUGACCAGCUCUUCCCCUUGCUGGCGUUACAACCGUUGAUGCUGCUGCGGCAGCUGUCUCAACAAUGGUUGCAUGACACUCGACAAACAAUUAACCAUGACGGUCUUGAAAGACCCAAUCAUCUCCGGAAUCUGUCCCUUAAUGAUCUCGAUCAACCCUCCUAGAUGAUCUCCCUGACACAGUCCUCUGACAAUGUUGGCCUAUCAUGGCUGCCAUUCCCCGAUCCUAACUUGGAUCCGGUCUCAAGACGUCUCGUAACCACCAUUCUGGUAAGACACCAGAAAGAUCUCUGAUAAUCCAUAAUAUGACAAGGGACCAGUGCUUCCUUGCUACACGUAUGGGUCCUGUGCUUUCAGUAGUACUGGCCCAUACUACCUACUAUACCUACCCAUAUUUCUCUUAAGUAUCACCACAACACCCUAACAAUAUAUAUAUAUAUAUAUAUAUAUAUAUAUAUAUAUAUAUAUACACACANNNNNNNNNNNNNNNNNNNNNNUAUAUAUACAUAACAUGGAGAGUGCUCAAUCCUCGCUCCUAGAGGAAACUAAUACCUCAUAACUGGCCUCCGGGCCUCUCACAACCCACCCAUGAAACUUUCACCAACCCCUGCAGCACUAGUGUAUGCUGGCCAUACAUAAUGAUGUCCAUUUCAUAUUAGGAAAUCCCUAGGAUAUCAGGAAUCAUAUAAUCAGACAAUUCUAUCAUGCAAUUCCUGAAGAUCCCUAGCCUAGUACUAGCAUGUUAUUCUAACAUAUCACAAUAUCAAAUAACUAUAUGGUAUGUUGGGGUCUACUUACUGGCUCCAGCUGAUCGUACACUUCACAUCCUCUUUUUCUUAUUUUGAAAACCAUUUAAAAAAACCAGUUUGAAAAUAUUUUCUUUGAUUUGAGACUGGAUUCAUAUGAAUGUUCCUCCAAUUCAAUCAAACCAAUGCUCUGAUACCAAUUUGUAACACCCAUAAAAUUCGAUCCAAAUUAAAACUUUUUAAAUCAUUUAAAACCAUUCAAUUAUUACAAUUUGUUUUCAAAAUAGUUUAAACAUCAGAGUUCCCACAACCAUGCAUAUUUAGUCUAUAGUGUGACUGGUCCGCCCGCAUCGGGCCUUCAAUCCACCUGGUCCACUCUCUAAGUCUACAGUAUGACUACACCGCCCGCACCGGACCUUCAGUGUAUCUGGCCCACUCUCCAAGCCUUCGACACGUCUGGACCGCCGUCUCGGGGACUUUAGUCUAUCCGGACGGCUCGCCAGGCCUUCGGCCUAAUUAGGUUCCCUCCUGGGCCUGCAGUCUAUCUGGUCCCCCUGGGUAUGUUGGCCUGCAGCACGAAGUAGGACCCGCCUCGACCCAACCCCCAAACAAACAACCAUGUGCACAUAUAACAGAUAAUCACAUAACAGUCGAUAGACGAACAAACCGAUCUAGCAGAUCAUAUAGCAUAGCAACAUCCUAACCAGGAUACCGACCUAACCGGUCACUAGCAUAGAAUCAUCCUGUAUACCAGGAUACCGACCUAAACCAUGUCACUAACAUAGAAUCAUCCUAUAUACCAUGAUACCGACCUAAACCAGGUCGCUAACAUAAUAUCGUCCUAAUUACCAGGACACCGAUCUAACAGAUCAAUAAGCA
rnacentral:lncRNA from 1 species